UACGUAGGGGGCAAGCGUUGUCCGGAAUCAUUGGGCGUAAAGAGCGUGUAGGCGGCCCGAUAAGUCCGCUGUGAAAGUCCAGGGCUCAACCCUGGAAUGCCGGUGGAUACUGUCGGGCUCGAAUCCGGAAGAGGUGAGUGGAAUUCCCGGUGUAGUGGUGAAAUGCGUAGAGAUCGGGAGGAACACCAGUGGCGAAGGCGGCUCGCUGGGCCGGUCCUGACACUGAGACGCGAAGGCGUGGGGAGCGAACGGG
rnacentral:rRNA from 1 species